rnacentral:rRNA from 1 species
CAAGAAAAGUUCAAGGGUUUAAGCAUCCAGACCGUACUAAAACUGACACAGGUAGGUGAGGAGAGUAUCCUCAGGCGCUCGAGAGAACUGCGGUUAAGGAACUAGGCAAUCUAACCCCGUAACUUCGGGAGAAGGGGUCCCUCUCUAGCAAUAGAAGGGCACAGAAAGCAGCCUGGGCGACUGUUUAUCAAAAACACAGUUCCGUGCUAAGACGCAAGUCGAUGUAUACGGAAUGACGCCUGCUCGGUGCGGGAAGGUUAAGGAAGUAGGUCAGGGAUUCGUCCCAAAGCUUGCAACCGAAGCCCCCGUAAACGGCGGCCGUAACUAUGACGGUCCUAAGGUAGCGAAGUUCCUUGUCGGGUAAGUUCCGACGCGCAUGAACGGCGUAACGACUUGGGCGCUGUCUCAACCGCAGACUCGGUGAAAUUGAAGUGGCGGUGUAGAUACCGUCUACACGCAGCAAGACGGAAAGACCCCAUGCACCUUUACUAUAACCUGGUAGCGAUGCCGGAUGUGGACUGCGUAGGAUAGGUGGGAGGCGUUGAUCCUCGGGUUUCGGCCCGAGGGGAGCCAACGGUGAAAUACCACCCUGUUAACAUUCGUCGUCUCACCCUGUUUCCGUGAAUCCGGACAGGGAACCCUGCUAGGCGGUUAGUUUGACUGGGGCGGUCUCCUCCAAAAGAGUAACGGAGGAGUACAAAGGCGGGCUCAGACCGGUUGGCAAUCGGUCGUCGAGCGCAUAGGUAUAAGCCCGCUUGACUGCGAGUGCUACAGCACGAGCAGAGACGAAAGUCGGUCUAAGUGAUCCUGUGGUCCCGUGUGGAAGGGCCAUAGCUCAACGGAUAAAAGGUACGCUGGGGAUAACAGGCUGAUCGCCUCCGAGCGUCCAUAGCGGCGAGGCGGUUUGGCACCUCGAUGUCGGCCCAUCGCAUCCUGGGGCUGAAGGCGGUCCCAAGGGUUUGGCUGUUCGCCAAUUAAAGCGGUACGCGAGCUGGGUUCAGACCGGCGUGAGCCAGGUCGGUCCCUAUCUGCUGUGCGCGUAGGAACCUUGACGGCACCCCAACCAUAGUACGAGAGGAUUUGGUUGGACGGACCCCUGGUGUACCAGUUGUCGUGUCAACGGCACGGCUGGGUAGCUAUGUCCGGAACGAAUAAACGCUGAAAGCAUCUAAGCGUGAAGUCUAUGUCAAGAUUAGGGUUCCAUGAGACCCCGGGUAGACCACCCGGUUGAUAGGCCAGAGCUGUAAGGCUAGAAAUAGUUUCAGGUUACUGGUACUAACGGUCAAUUACUUGACC